GAUGAACGCUGGCGGCGUGCCUAAUACAUGCAAGUCGAGCGAACGGGCGAGAAGCUUGCUUCUCUGAUGUUAGCGGCGGACGGGUGAGUAACACGUGGAUAACCUACCUAUAAGACUGGGAUAACUUCGGGAAACCGGAGCUAAUCCCGGAUGAUAUUUUGAACCGCAUGGUUCAAAAGUGAAAGACGGUCUUGCUGUCACUUAUAGAUGGAUCCGCGCUGCAUUAGCUAGUUGGUAAGGUAACGGCUUACCAAGGCAACGAUGCAUAGCCGACCUGAGAGGGUGAUCGGCCACACUGGAACUGAGACACGGUCCAGACUCCUACGGGAGGCAGCAGUAGGGAAUCUUCCGCAAUGGGCGAAAGCCUGACGGAGCGACGCCGCGUGAGUGAUGAAGGUCUUCGGAUCGUAAAACUCUGUUAUUAGGGAAGAACAUAUGUGUAAGUAACUGUGCACAUCUUGACGGUACCUAAUCAGAAAGCCACGGCUAACUACGUG
rnacentral:rRNA from 1 species